rnacentral:rRNA from 1 species
UGGGGGCACGGGGGGACGGGGUGCAGCAGGCGCGAAAACUUUGCAAUACACGAAAGUGUGAUAAGGGGAUCCUAAGUGCUCAUGCUUAGCAUGGGCUUUUGUCAAGAGUAAAUAUCUUGGCGAAUAAGUGGUGGGUAAGACUGGUGCCAGCCGCCGCGGUAACACCAGCGCCACAAGUGGUGACCGGCAUUAUUGGGCCUAAAGCGUCCGUAGCAGGAAAAACAAAUCUCUUGUGAAACUGUUCAGCUCAACUGAACAACGUGCAGGAGACACUAUUUUUCUAGAGACCGGGAGGAGUCAGAGGUAUUUUUGGGGGAGCGGUAAAAUGCUAUAAUCCCAAGAGGACCACCGAUGGCGAAGGCAUCUGACUAGAACGGAUCUGACUGUGAGGGACGAAGGCCAGGGGAGCGAACCGGAUUAGAUACCCGAGUAGUCCUGGCAGUAAACGCUGCGAGCUAGGUGUUGCGCAAUCUACGGAUUGUGCAGUGUCGAAACGAAGGUGUUAAGCUCGCCGCCUGGGAAGUACGGUCGCAAGACUGAAACUUAAAGGAAUNGGCGGGGGAGCACUACAAGGGGUGCGGCGUGCGGUUUAAUCUAACUUAACGCAGAGAAUCUCACCAGGAGCGACGGCAGAAUGAAGGUCAGUCUAAAGGGCUUACCUAACGAGCCGAGAGGUGGUGCAUGGCCGUCGUCAGCUCGUGCCGUAAGGUGUCCUGUUAAGUCAGGCAACGAGCGAGACCUGUGCUUAUAAUUGCUAACAGCCUUUGGGACUGAGCACAUUAUAAGGACUGCCCUGGAAACAGGGAGGAAGGUGCAGGCUACGGUAGGUCUGUAUGCCCCGAAUCCUCUGGGCUACACGCGCGCAACAAUGGUAAGGACAAUGGGAUGCGACUCCGAAAGGAGAAGCUAAACCUCUAAACCUUAUCCAAGUCUAGAUUGAGGAUUGUAACUCAUCCUCAUGACAACGGAAUCCCUAGUAAUCAGAUCUUAUCAUGGUCUGGUGAAUAUGUCCCUGCUCCUUGCACGAAUUCGCCGA